rnacentral:rRNA from 1 species
CCUACGGGCGGCAGCAGUCGAGAAUCAUUCACAAUGGGGGAAACCCUGAUGGUGCGACGCCGCGUGGGGGAAUGAAGGUCUUCGGAUUGUAAACCCCUGUCAUGUGGGAGCAAAUUAAAAAGAUAGUACCACAAGAGGAAGAGACGGCUAACUCUGUGCCAGCAGCCGCGGUAAUACAGAGGUCUCAAGCGUUGUUCGGAAUCACUGGGCGUAAGGCGUGCGUAGGCUGUUUCGUAAGUCGUGUGUGAAAGGCGCGGGCUCAACCCGCGGACGGCACAUGAGUCUGGGAGACUAGAGUAAUGGAGGGGGAACCGGAAUGCUCGGUGUAGCAGUGAAAUGCGUAGAUAUCGAGAGGAACACUCGUGGCGAAGGCGGGUUCCUGGACAUUAACUGACGCUGAGGCACGAAGGCCAGGGGAGCGAAAGGGAUUAGAUACCCGAGUAGUC